rnacentral:rRNA from 1 species
UACGUAGGGCGCAAGCGUUGUCCGGAAUUAUUGGGCGUAAAGAGCUCGUAGGCGGUCUGUUACGUCCGCUGUGAAAACCCAGGGCUUAACCCUGGGCUUGCAGUGGAUACGGGCAGACUAGAGUCAGGUAGGGGAGAAUGGAAUUCCCGGUGUAGCGGUGAAAUGCGCAGAUAUCGGGAGGAACACCGGUGGCGAAGGCGGUUCUCUGGGCCUGACCUGACGCUGAGGAGCGAAAGCGUGGGGAGCGAACAGG